rnacentral:misc_RNA from 1 species
CAGAAGAGUUGAAAGACUCGUCCAACCCUUUGUGAACCUACCGGAGUCGUCGCUCUCGGCGGGCAGCCCCAGGGCGGGGCCGCAGCCCCCUCUCCGGAGGGGGUGCCCGCCGGCAGCAACCCAAACUCUUGCUUAACCGGCCAUCUGAGCUAUAAUACAAAAUGACAUUA